rnacentral:rRNA from 1 species
UACAGAGGGUGCGAGCGUUGUCCGGAAUCACUGGGCGUAAAGGGCGCGUAGGCGGUCUGCUAAGCGUGUGGUGAAAGCUCGGGGCUCAACCCCGAGUCGGCCGUGCGAACUGGUGGACUGGAGCAUGUCAGAGGCAGACGGAAUUCCGGGUGUAGCGGUGGAAUGCGUAGAGAUCCGGAAGGAAGACCGGUGGCGAAGGCGGUCCUCUGG